rnacentral:rRNA from 1 species
AGCGAACGCUGGCGGCAGGCUUAACACAUGCAAGUCGAGCGGGCAUAGCAAUAUGUCAGCGGCAGACGGGUGAGUAACGCGUGGGAACGUACCUUUUGGUUCGGAACAACUGAGGGAAACUUCAGCUAAUACCGGAUAAGCCCUUACGGGGCAAGAUUUAUCGCCGAAAGAUCGGCCCGCGUCUGAUUAGCUAGUUGGUGAGGUAAUGGCUCACCAAGGCGACGAUCAGUAGCUGGUCUGAGAGGAUGAUCAGCCACAUUGGGACUGAGACACGGCCCAAACUCCUACGGGAGGCAGCAGUGGGGAAUAUUGGACAAUGGGCGCAAGCCUGAUCCAGCCAUGCCGCGUGAGUGAUGAAGGCCCUAGGGUUGUAAAGCUCUUUUGUGCGGGAAGAUAAUGACGGUACCGCAAGAAUAAGCCCCGGCUAACUUCGUGCCAGCAGCCGCAGUAACAC